UGACCCAGAAGUGGAGCAUUGCAGAGGUAAGAGCAUGGGCAGGAGAAAAUCAGUAAGAUGUUUCCUGUAAAAGCCUUUUGCCAGACAAGAGGAAUCAUUACCACGAUGAUACUUCUAAUUAUAAUGUCAUUAGGGCACCACUGCAGGUUCCUAUGGCGCAUGAAGUUUUUCAGCAUCUUGAUCCAAAAUGGGCAAAAUGUAGGCAUUAACCCUUUCACUGGAAGUAGACUUGAAUAUCUAGGCAAGCUGAAAGAACACAACUUAUUUUGAAGUUAAGUCAUAGUAUUGCUGAGAGUUCUGGAAAAUUUAGCAGUUGUAAAGAAUACUGAAGAGUAAUUCCCCUGAUCCUUCUGCAUUCAUGCCAGAUGUCACAGAUGGACAAUUGAUGAUAUGUGUUUCUCAAGACACCAAAAAGGUAAAGAUAAUGUACUUUGUUGCUGAUCUAAUUUUUGUCUGACUGGAAAACAGGACGCGAAGUUUCUGGCACAAAGUUGUUGCCCAAACCUUUGAAGAAUAGCCAAGAGCAGAUAACAAACAGGCCUACAGACAAUAUUGCUCAAAGUCACAUUCAACUCCUUAAGCAGCUGUUCAAUCUGUGAAGUGAAAAAUUCUUCUAUUUUUGUGUAAUUUUCAAACUGCUGAUGAUACUAUAACAUAUUCUCUCGGCUUUUCUCUUUGUUUAGGCAGCCUGGAUUUAUACCUUCAAAUCUUGGCUCUAGGAUGGUUCCAAAAGCACAAUCAUGCAUGCAGAUACCACCAAACGUGUCAAAAAUGUUAUGCUAUUAAAUGCUAUGAUAAAACCUUCUACUUAGUGCUACAGUGCUUCUAGAAUUUGUCUUACAGGUCCAAGUUGAUCUUGCCUGUAACUGACCUGUAAAGGAACAUUUCCUGGCUUUGCACAGUGCUGACACUGUGUUCGUGUUGCUCUGGACUGAGUCUAGCUCCUGGUUUGCUCUUCAGGAGUCAGACAGUUAAACCACAAGCCAACUCUGCCACUCUGGAACAAAAUAACAUCCUCUUCAGUGUUUCAGGAUUUACAGAAUGUUAAAUGGGCACAGCGUUCCCCCAGAAUCCCAACCCAGUAGGGUGUUCCCAGGCAGGGGCUACUCCAAGCUUAGGCGUGCAUAGGAGAUCCCAGAUUAGAAGCCUACUGCCAGAGAUACCUUGAGGAAGGGGAUUUUGAGCACUGCGUUAUGCCUUAUGCAGACAGCGUGAAUGAUGGGAUGUCCAGUUUUCCAAUGGACAAAAUUGCACAGGGCAGGUUGAUCAGAGUAACAGAUACCAUGACAACCAAAUAUGUUCAAAGCAAAAGGACAAAAGACAAGAGAGGAAUUUUAAAGGGGGAGGAGGCAGCAAUAACAUUAUUAAUAUAUCCCUGUGUUCUGAAGGAGUGGCUUUUUUUGUGAAACUCAGCAAGUUGUGACCCUGAGCAGUGCCACUGCCGUAGCGCAAUCUGCGUGGUACAAAGUUGGGAUGUGGCAUGAAGAUUUUGUGAAUUCCAGAAGCUCCUCUUUGAUGACUAAGUAGUUAUUAGCUCUUUGAGACUGAGUACCAUUUGGGUAAUUGGCAAGUGGACUGUGACCUGAAGGACUGAUAAACUGGAGGGAAAUCAUUCAAAAUUCUUUUCAGUUUUCCUCCAUACUGCUUUUGUUUCAUGUUCAGACAACUCAAUCUAAAACAUGAAACGUUAUUUUCAGAAGAGCAAUCAUAAUUGGCAUAAUUUGAAGAAAAAAAAAACUAGUAGCACUUGCUAAUAUGGGCAGAAUUCAAUUAAUAAAACACCACAUACUGUGGCUGGUUUGUUUCUAAAAUACACUUAUGUAAUUUAAAAGACAAAUGUGUUGUCUGUGGUGGUCAUUAUUUUAAAGACAGCAGGGUUUAUCCCUUACAUCCCAUUUUUUAAUCUGUGGUUUUAUUGACACUUUGAAAGCUAACAGCCUAGCAGGUUGUUCCUAGGUAGGAAUUCUACCCAAAAGAACAGUUUGUAGAACUGUACUCAUUUAACUGACAUUACAAAGUUGUCCUGCACAUGCAAAAAAAGAACUUUUCACAUGAUGUGAGAAAGACUCUACACCUGUGAUAACGAAGAACACUUCCCAUUAGCAAUGUAAGUAUGUAGAUUUGUCGUUACUUAUUCAGAAAUCAGCCUGCAGGCCCAAGAUGACCUGCUCUUCACCUCACCAAUCCCGCUCCUGCUGCAUCUCACAUGAGGUAGGUGCACUUCUAUUUCAACCCUAAAAGUGGGACUGUUCAUCUUUCUGAAUCAGCUACAUGGGCUGAGUCCUUCUCUUCCACUGCACCAAAUCCUUGCAGGGACGUGUUUUCAGGUGAGCUUUAUUAUUCAGUGUGCACCUUUAUAAGGUUCUGGAAGGCAAAGCUCUCAGGCCACCUUACUCGUUUUUGCAUAGUACCAAAGAGUGUUUUUUGAAAGCCUUUUAGGAUCAGCUUUUUUCUUGGAGUGGUGUCAAUCAUCAAGAAUUUUUAAAUAUUUUACCUAACCAACUACUACUUAUUCCUUUUGAAAGAAAAGCAAAUGAUUACAUGCAGCCCUGGCCAUUUUGCACUCACAUAUCCCUACCUUAUCUCUGCUCCAUAAAGCACCCAGAAGAUGUGUGUGGGCUCCGGUCUGCUCCUCACUUUCACUGCCCACUGAGGGACUUCAAGCAUGAAAGAGCUGUCCUGGUGCACACCCACCUCCGGACAUGGAGAGGAAAUCCCAACUAUCUCUCCCUCUCACCACUGCUCACCUUUAUAAACUGAUUUCUGCCUUCUUCCUGGGCUACAAAAUGACAGCGCUUACUAUCUGUCCAGUCGUCUGUUCCUGUUUAGCCAGUAAGUGGAACAUUUCCUAUGACUUUCUUCAGAUAAUGAUCCUCUUUUUCCACAUCUAGGGGGCCUCUAUUGUAUAUAAUCUCUGCAAGAUAAGAGCUUAAUAAAUAACUCUUUUUUAUAGUAUUUUUUUUUUAAUUCUGUACGUCUAGAACACCUGCUCUGCUGCUGCUUGUAGAUUUUUAGGUAAUUUGACUUUAAUUUUUAUAUAAAGAAGAGAUAUGAAACUUCCUCCUGACAUAAUUAGAAAACUAAAAUGUAAGUUUGCUCGCUGAAAACUAUAUCUUGGAGUUCUUUUGCAAUACAAGUUAAUUAACUGGAUUUAGAUAUUUGCAAGACGAUAUAUUUAAUGGGAUUACUGCUCAUAUAAUGUUCUCAGUGACUGAUUUGGAAUCUAAGCUCAGGGAACAGAAUACCGAAUUUCCAGCUCUUUGAGAGUUAAUGUUGUGUUAAGGAAAAGUACAAUUUGAACCUCAUUGUUCAUGAAUAGCGAAGUUAUUCCGGUGAAAUGGAGCCGGUGCCUACAAGGGCUACACGAGGCAGAUGCAUGAGCGGGAGCGCAGACAGCGUCAUUCCUGCGAGUGCUCGGCUACAGAUAUCCCCGCACCUGAACUCCUGGCAAGUUCAAGGCAAUUGCGUAUCUCAUCACAACAUAAUGGCCCUUUAUUCAGCCCCCGUCUCCCAAGUGGGAUCAAUUAGAUGCUUUGGUCUGCAGGCUUGAGAAUAAACAUUUGUGUUUUCGUUUAUAUUUAGAGUGAAAAUGAAGACGCGUGGCCACAGCCGUUCUGCCCGCAUCCGUCGUGUUUUGAAACAAAGGUUUAAUCAGCUCUUUCAAAAUAUUGAUUGCCUUUUUAAUAGGAAAAGGUAGAAAGUUAAAUGACAGCAAGCUCUGGGGAAAAAUGCAAUAGCCCUGCACAGAACAUUUCAGUGCGCCAAUAAAUCUCGCAUUAGCGUCUAUCUUCUCAUUAAGGCAAAUAUAUUUCUAUGUGUCAAUUUGGUUCACUACAAUGUUAGAGUUUCACUCCUAACACAGGAUUUCUCUAAUGAAUAUGGUAAUUUAAAUCUUAUGAUCAGAGUACUACUUUUAUAGAAAUUUGAACAUUUUUUGUUUAAAUGCUAUUAACCGUUUCAAUAUUAGCUCAGUCAAAUAGCUAUUAGAUGGGGAAAUUUAUAUUCUCACUAUAAGGAAUGGAUGUGUAAUUCUACAGUGCUUCUACAUUCUAACACUUUUUUAAAGUACUUGACAAGUAGAAUGGUGAUUCGUGUUUAACGUGUUCGAUUUUAAAAUUUAACCAGCAUUCCAAAGCUCUGGUGAGUUCAAAUGCCUUAACAUUUUUAUUUAUGAUUGUAAUUUUAUUUUUAAGCAUUGAUAAAGUGAAGUCUUAAAAAUCUAACUGGAUAAGAACAUUUAGAUGACAGUGGUUCACCAGGACACAAGUGGGAAAGGGAAAGAAAAUCCCAUGGAGAGAAGGAAACUCUUAUAUACCUGCAUGCAUCUUCCUAAGAUAUGACACAAAAUACUACUGAAGUGAUACUUGCCUUGUUUUGAUCUUGAUUUGGGGGGGAGGUUGUUUGGUUUUGAAUGACCUGUCAAACUGAGAGUUGUGCCAAGGCAACCUUGGCAUCUGAUGUUUUACAUGGCUGCUACGUUACAAGUAUUCCAUUCCAAGUAUUUUAGUCCUUGAAUAAAUUGCUCUUAUUAAGCUAAUUUUGGAUCCAUUCUGUUUAUGAAUGCAUAAAAAUAUUCCUGACUGUUUUCCAGGCUUUUCAAGACAACUAUGAGAUGUACCCUAUGAUGUGAGCAAUCACUAAACAGACUACAACAGAUUAAUAGUUCACAGAAACCUCUUAAAACAUCCUAAGCUCAUAAAUUUGUAAAGAGUUUGUGAUCUUGAGUUAUUAUAUUCUAUGAUUUUCCAUCAAAGGAAUUUGAAUCGUGCCUUUAUAUUCCUGUCCUGUAGCAAAAUAUGCUUGUUUCCAGCCAGGGCUUUCACUGAUGUAAACCCAGAUACUGGUGUUCCUGGAUUGAACAGCAAUGCAACCCUACGAGGGGGAAUUCCAUAGCUGAGAGAGAGCUUUUUUUUCUCAGUAUGUGUCAUGGAAAAGAAAAACACGAUCAUUUAACAACUUUCUUCCAAGCAUGAGCGCGUCUUUGAGCUUACAAAGUCAGGUUUUUGUGAUGAAGAGCUUUCAUUCAUAGGUAUUUCUUUAAAAAAAAAAAAAUACAACCAAUUGUGGAACUAGCAAGAUGAUGGUUAUGAGUGCACAGCAAUAUCCCAUGUCCAGGAACUGCAUCUGCAGCAUCAGAGUGCAGGAUGAAGAGCAUUUCAGGAAGGUAGGAUUCAAUGAACCCACGGCAGUUUGUCAGGAACUCUACAACAAGUAGUCCCAGUGCUUUUCUUUCAUAUUGAAUACAUGGAAUUAGUGCUCUUAGUGCACACAGAGAGCAGGAAGAUAACAAACUACUGCUUGGACAAAGCAGAUUUGACCUACAUAUAGGAGUGGACGCAGCCAAGGGUGGAGCUUCUGAUUGAAUGGUGUUAGCAUCAGUUGUGGUUGGGAAUUUUGCAAACAGUUACAACAGCAGUGAAGAACUUAUUACAAAUAAGUCCCGUAAGUCUGGAUAUUCUGCUGUUCACGAGGAAUAUAAAAUGAGUGCAGACUGGUGGAACUUAGAUGAAACCAUGCCUAAGACAUAAGAACACACCGUCUGUCAGAACGGAAGUACUUUACAAGUCAAGCGUUGCCAGCCAGAACAUCUGAAAAUGUUUUGACAGUAUCAGAAUGUAUCUUUUGGAAUGAACUGAUAAUGCUGUUUUGUCUUCCAAUCCAACUUUUUUUUUCUCUCAGCUUUCUGUUUUACUGAAAGAAUAAGUGGAACUGAAGCUAAGGGUGGCAGAACAUGUGUGUAAAUUAGAUUAAUUUUUCUCCUAGUUGCAGAAAGCAGAAUAGUUUCUAGUUUAUCUUGACAGAUGCAUUUCACAACUAUCUUCUAUCUUAUGCCUUCAAUCCAGAGAGAGGUGAGAAAAAUACAGUGCUGUCCUAUUGAAAAGGCAAUAUCUAAAACUACUCAGCAGUUUGUUGCUGCAUUAGUCCAAGAAUAAUUUAAUUCUGUACUAACAGCAAUUUAGAAAGCACGAAAAUGAAGCUAGAACAUUUCUAAACUAAUUGUUUGCUACACACGUUGAUUAACAGUGCUCUGCAGGAAUUAAUUGAUCCAAGGGCAGGAUCUGGCACUACGGCAGCAACGCUCUUCUUGCAGUGCUCAUAUGAGGUGACUGCACUCACAGCUCCUCAGACUGUGCUACGAAUUGUUUUUCAAACACAUCAUCUGUCCUUGCAGAGAGCCGCUGGAGAUCCUCAGACCAGGCCUGAGCACAGCUAGGUAUUGGCUGUUUCAAUUACAGCUCAAAUACAUCACGCAGAUGGAGGAGUGCACUGGGCAUGCAUUUGGCAUCCCAGGGCAGAUGGCUUUUCCCAAAAUGAGAGCCUGUGGAAAGCUGUUUUCAUCUUCCCAAGCUUCUGGCCUGAUGGACUUCAGCACAAAUGCGUUUCCAAAUAAUGAAUCUGCAGUUCACUUUCUGGCCGAGGUGAACGAGCACACGUUAACUCAUUCAGAAAGGAGAUGAAAAGCUCACAUUCAGGAUGCAUUAAUCUGAAAACAAGUGUACUUUUGUGUCUGGGGAGUAUUAUUUUCAUUGCCAUCAAUUUAGAACAUAGAUAGACUGUGAUUCUAGCUUCACUAUCAGGUUGCCCCACAGGCUGAGACCCCUCACCAGGCCAUUCUAUUUAAUUUAGACUAAUCUAAAGCUGAGUGAAACUUUGUACCCUCUCUGAUUUCUCCCUAUAAUCAGGAACACUCUGAUUUCCCCUUCCCCCAUGACCCAGUCUGAGUGGCUGGGAGAUGGGGGAGAGGUACUCAGGAAAGCGACCUCCAGGUAAAGGCAGCAGCUAUUUGUGCCAGCCUGUCUGCUUGCCUAAUAACAGGUGGCAAACAUGUCCAACCAUAUCAUCCCUAGCUCUUGUUCUGUUUGAAUUUCUCUUUACUUUACACACAAUUCUUGGGAAGGCGUAAUCCUUUACACUUUUGCAUGUGAGUUUUUCAAGGCAUUGCACAUGUCAGCGGAGAUAAAUCUCCCAUGGAAGAGGCUGAAAUCCUAAUGCUGUUCUUCCACCAUUAUGCUCCUAGGUUUGGGUGGAAUUUGAUGGGGCAGAGGUUGUGCCCUAUAGUUUUAAUGUUGGGGUGUUUUUGGUCAGUGUUGUUUUGUCUGUGUUUAGAGGCAUCAAUAUGCACAAGAGAAUCUGUUUUGGACAGUAUCCAAGGUCAAAAAGAAUUCAGCAGCUUUGGCAAAAUGUUCCCUUCUGUCUGUGGUUUACAGAUUCAUCCAUAUGUGAGAUCUUAAAGAAGUAUCUUUCACUCUCUGUUGCUAUCAUCUCUGAUAAUUAGACUUGGCUUUGCUGCUUUCUCUCUCUCCCCGUCUUUCUUUUGUUUUAAACACCACAUGACUGCUUUCAGUGGAUAAGGCAAGUGGAGAAGAAAAGGAUCCAGUAGUGGCCCUCAACUGGCAGGCACUCAGCAAGCAAAUCAGCAGGUUCCCCUGCUAAAGAACCAUGCUGACAUCUAGUUAAUGUUCUUAUUUGCUAAAGUAAUGAGACUCAACCUGCCUGUGACUCUCAAUCUUUUACAAACCAAAAUUUGUAGUCUUUGCUCAUAGGCAAGAAAAAAAAAUGAUCUGCAGUAGCCCCAAGUUUAAAUCAGCAAAUUUGUUUCGUAAACAGCAGAAGUACCCGGGGUGCAGUUCUCCGGGGGGAGCUCAGGUGCGAUGGGCUCUUCCAGUCCUCUCCUCUUCUGGCAGUUGUUAAGUUUGUCGCAUACCUAAAUAUGCCAAGUGUAACCCACAGCAGGAGGGGGUUGUCAGAGGACAAAUAUAAUUUUUAUUCUCCUCUCUGAUGUAACUGUGGGUCAGUCAUCUCGUGGUCCUCACAGAUGAUUGGUUCACUGGUAUUAUUUAUCUCAUUUUGGUCCAACAACAGAGACCAUAGACACUCAUAACUUCCCCUUGAAGCAACCAUUCUACUAAUUAAAAUGAAAAGCGCCUGAUUCUGUUUCUCCUAAAAAUAUAAUUCUUUUUCUGAUUAGAGAUGCAAUUUAAAAAAAAAAAAAAAAAAGGCAAAAAUGGGUAUCUUAUUUUUGUCUGUUGGCUCACAAAACCUGCAUGAACACGAGUUUUAUGUGUGUGAAACUGCCAAAUUGGAGCCAGGGUAGAAACUCUCAAGGGUCUGAAUGUUGAGCAAAAGAGAUAGAUGAAACAGCUGAGUUACUGAACUGAGAAACAUAUGUGCUGUACUUACACAUUUACCAGCGCUCUAAAGAUUUUCUGAUAUGUGGCUGCUCUCUUGAAAAUUAUUUACAUGGCAUUCUGGAGUUGUUCCCACAGAUAUGAUUCCAUUUUGAUCUGCCAAUUACAUUAUGUGCUGUUGCAAAGAAGUUUGUAAAUGAGUCUUUGUUCCUUAGAUGGAAAGCGUUUUGAAGGAGUUCUACCAGCCUGAUGGUAAAUCAUGAACGUCAAAAAUGAGGCUGUCUAAAAAUACAUUAGAGGUUGAUGUAAACAUUGCUGGUAUCAGAGGAGAUGGUUCCCAUCAACUUUUGGGAAUGCUGAAUCUGAUGUCCCUUUACAUACACCAAGUUGCUCAGGACAGACCUCCUCCUUCAUGAUGCCCAUGGAAAUCACUGCAGAUUUGACAGCUCUGGCUCCUGGUAACUCCUGUGGGCUCCUCGAGUCCAUAGCAAGGACAGCUGCCCAAAGCCAAGGUUCACCCUCAUGGGAGGUGGGUACAGAAAAAAAGUCUGCUGUUCAGCUGGACCAGGAAGAGAAGUGGAGAAGUUUUCAGUGGCAUUUUCAGAGGUGUUUCACAGCCAGGAGUGUUACAGGAGUGGAAGACCUUGUGCUUUUGAUAAGUCUGUGCCACAGUGGGAUUCUGGCAUCCCUUAGAUGAGACGCCCAUGAGCCCUGAGGAAUCACAUUGCCUUGCAGCCACUGUACAGCCAUGAAAACCAGCUGAAAACAAAACCGAGCCUCUUCGGAGAAAGCCCCACAAGUGACCUCUUCAGCAAAGUGGACAAAGAUUUACAUUGGCUUCUCUUCUCCCCGGCUAUCACUUACACUACAUGCACACUGUUGUUCCUCCUGCCUGUGCCAUUGUACUUCCCUUCUAACCUGUUUUCAACCUGCAAAGGCUUUUGCAAGGAAGUCAGCACGCAGCAAUGGUGUGAGCUUACAGCACGUUGGCUGCUUUGUGCUAAUUUCCCAUUAGUGCACAUAGGCGGUAGUUUCGAAGAUAGGUGCGGUGCCUUGUAUGUCAGUGGGUGUUCUAAGGUCUGCAGCUGGGCAGAUGGAUCAGUACUGCCUGACAUAUCAGCUUAUAGUGCAAGGAGACCGUUACUUCAAAUGAAUUUGCUAUGGGACCGUAAAAAGCCUCUGUUAUGAAUAGUCUUCUACAGACAGGAUGAUGUAACAUCCAGUAUAAGGCACCAUAACUGUGUUGUUUACAUUUUUGGUGUGCUGUCCCAUAUAUAAAUCCCCAGUGCUCCAAAAAACAAUGCAUUAAAAGUUAAGGAUGAAUCCAAUCAAUAACCUACUGCGUUAUUCAUGGGUUCAGCGAUGCAGAGUUAAUCCUUUGGGACAAUGACAUUAGGACAUUUGAACAAAACGUACAGCACCCUGCCUAACACCCAGUCUGCACGGAGGAUAAAACCCACUGCUACAACCUUCAUCUUCUCCCUCCAGGGAUAGAGACGUUCCUGCUCAGCACUGGAACUUCUGGAGAUGAUAAACACAAGCAACUCAUCCCCAGCUCCAUCCUGAGCACCUUCAGCAUUGCCACUCAGCACCUCAAAAUUGUGUGCGUCCAAUGCCAACUGCCCACCAUGGCAAAGGAACAAGACAUUUGCUCCAAGUUUCAGUGUUAAUAAAGAAGGUGAAUCUUUCACACCAGUGGUUGCAGAUGUCAUGCACUUGCCUCCUGCUAUUUGGAUCCACUGUGCUGCAGAGAGUGAACCAGGCAAACCCACCUGUAGAGGAGGGCAGGGAAAGUGAAAUCCCGAGCACCAAGCAGAGUCUUGCUGGAGACCACCGAGGAGACACAGCAUCAGCAAUUGCUGACAAAGCCCAUUGCACCAUCAGAACCAAGCCAAGGAUGAAAGAACGUGACACCAAUCUGUAUUUCCAGCAACCUUUGUUGGAAAGGUGGUCUGCGCUCAUGAAUACUGUUGUUAUACCUACAGCCCCCAAAGAGCAACCUACUUGAGCUGUGACAGAGCUGCUCAUAUAACCAAGGGUAUAUGGUUAUGUAGCCUGUCUGGGGAUGUAAGCACAUUUACCUGUAGACUAAAGGAGAUGACCGAAUCCUUGUAAAUGAGCACAAAACAUCGCGAUGCCUAUGCCUUCAAACACCAAAGGAUGAGCAUGAACAGUGUCUCUAGAGCCACUCCAGACUCUAGACACUCAGCACUAGGUGUCCUGUGCUGAGAUACGACUACUGCUACUGACCACAGCUCACGUGCACGUGUCACAGGACCAGUCAAGGUCGUAAACUUAAGCAUAUUUAUAUCUCUUGGUAGGAACAGAGCUGUAAUUAUAUUUUGGGUGUUUCUUGCCUUCUUCAAUUGCUGCCAGUGCUGCUUGUUUGCUACAGCGUAACCCGUGGCAUAUUUUAUAGGUUUUCAACCUUUGCACACAAUGGAUUAGAAAGAAAGUCAAUUAUGCAUAAGAUUGAAAGAGUUAUGUAAAUAUAAAACCAAUAUAAUGUAUUAUUUACAUACAGCCUGUACUUACCCUAAGUAACUUCUGCAGAAACCUGGGCUAUCACAAACAGCUCACACCUAAUUUCUGAGCCCUAUUCCAGAAAAGAGGGGAGGAUUCUGGCUACCUUAAAUCAGUGCUAAUAUUUUCUAGAUGAGAGCAUAUUUGUAUAAGAACAUAACUCAACAUAACACGGAUGGACAACAAGCAGGAUAAAUCUCUAUCAUUUAUUACAUUUGCUGAGCGAUCAAAGGUGUCUAACUAGACAUUUUUCCUCAUUGGUUGUUUGCAUUAGAUAUGCAAAUCUCCUUUCUUGCAGAGCCAUUUCUGAAUAUAUUUGCGAGGCUAUUGAUGUCCAUUACUUCACUUAAAUAUAGAUCAGAAAUACUGACAAAUAUUUUCAUUCAAAGAGUUUGAUCAUUUUCAGAUUACUCUCCAUGCUAGUAAUUAACCUCAGUCAACACCCUUCCAUAGCACUUUCAAACACAGUUCCUAGCAAACAUAAAGUUUCAUAAAUAUGUACUAAAUAACCUUAAAGCCCUUUAUGAAUAAUUAUGAGUUUUUAAGUUUUUGUGAAUCUGCAUAUUAAUUCCACGCCAUAAAUAAUACAUGAAGCAAAAAUCCAGCUUGUUUGGUGUCUGGGGACAGAGAAAGAAAAGGAGGGGAUAAUUAUCAGUUUAAUGUGGGAAAAUACUUAACCUAAAAGAUUAUCUUCAAAACUGAUGACUCUAUAGGUUUGUAUAUACGUGUGUGUAUAAAUACAUAUAAGUAUAUAAAAUAUACGUGUAUGAAGAUAGGUUUGUCUGCAGAUACGCAUCCAGCCUGAGAAAGCCUUAAUUUGAGGCAUGUUACAUUCCUGUCUCCUCUGUGCCAUGCUGAGCUCUUCAAGUGCAAAGUGAUGCGAUGAGCUCAGCCUCCACACAACCCUUCUUUCUAUAAACGUAUGUUCCCCCAAAGGUAGAAAAUUAAUGAGAGGCUGCUGACUAAAAUUACUACAUUUUGCCUUCUGUGGGACAUUAUGGAUUUAAAAGAUAAGCAAGAGUGCAGCAAGUCCAAAAACAAUUUCAUUUCGUUAAUCCUUUAAGUGCCUCGGGAUGAGCAGCCCAUGUCCAGCAAAGGUGAUGCUUCUGCAUGCCUAUUGCACAGCAGUACUUGCACACUCUGCUUCUCGGCUCCACAUGGAAGGCAUCCAGUGGGGUGGGAUGAUGUAUGGCUGAAUGGUCUUAGGCUGACACUUCCUGGAUGCUCGCUGACAGUAAUAGGAAACGUAAGCGGUGUGCAGAGACAGCUCGUAGGUAAAGCAGGGAGUGUGAAUAGGAUUUUUCCUCUUUAUUCCGUACAGCUUACAGCAAAGAAAAGGCAUUUUCUGCUCAAAUGUCUUUGAACAAAACAAAGUGGAAACUAUUAUGUUUCAAAACCAGGACCCGGGAACAUAUUCCAUGUUUGCCUUUGUCAAAGGAGUACAACGAUUUAUAGUUUGGGAAGAAAAUCAUUGCAUUCCAAUUUUAUAUUUUUCAAUAAGUGACUCCAUUUAUUUUUUACAUAUUAAUCCACCUCCAUAAUGAAAAUAGAUUUCACUUCUCAUUUCAAGUCCUUCAGAUCUAUUUCACUUCCCGGUCAUGCUCAGCGCUUGGCUAGGAGAAUGAAAGGCAGUAUUUCAAAUAAUAGCAACUCAAUAGCAAGCCUGUUCUCUUGGUUUUAAUGCAGAAAGAAGAAAAGAUAAACCAAAUUUGUACAAGAAUCUUCAGAGAUAGGAGCACUCCCUUGUUCUGACGCCAUUUCCCAGCCCUGCAGCAUCAGGAGAGCAGUGCUGUUGGUGCGGGGGUGCUGCCGGGAGCAGGGUGAGGGGCUGGGGAUAGGAUCCCACAGAAGCGACUGAAUCCAAAGCUCAACUUAAGACUGCUCAGAAAGAUUCCAGGAGGGGGUGAGGGGCUGCUGGAGGUGCCGGCAGCACUGUCUCGUCACGGCAGCCUGCUAAUUAACCGUGAUGGGUUUUAAAGCCUCAGCUGGAAGCAGCUUCUGGAGAAACGGAUGGAGCACCCAGGUUUGUUUUGUAUCCAAAAAGGGGGACACAGAGUUGAAAAGAAUUGUUGUAAAGGCCUGCAUCAGUGUUAUUCUGCAUCCGUCUGCUUUGCGUACCGUUUGCUAGGAAUUUAUAAAGUAACAUACAUUCAGUAUGAAGGAAAAAAAAAAAACAAACAACAGAUCUUUAAAAUAUUGAACUGUGGCUGCUGUGCCUCGUGGAAAGGUACAGGCUUCUCGUCCGGGAGUUGCAUUGUGUGGAUGCAAACCUGUUGAUGAGUGGUUUAAGCUAAUUCUCAUUUAUACUGGACUCAUAAAUCCAUAAACUUUGGUAAGAACUCAGCUGCAGCCGAUGUUAUUGGUUGAACUGUUUUCAUCUGAAGCCCAUUCUGAAUCCCCAACAAAAAUAGUAGGCCAGAUGCCCAGACAGCAGCUAGAGACCCUCAUUAGGCAUCAUUUGCAUCCUAUUAACCACUGAGCUGUGGGUCAUUCGCUGCCUGUCAACCAUUCAAGUCAUUCCUUUUGUGUUAAUUAGUAGAGAAAUAAGGAGUUAAUGAAGAUCUUAUGAUCUGUGAUGAUUCAUCUUUGUUGUUUCAAACGAAUCCCUGCUCUCCGAGCACCCCAAUGAGCUCCUGCACACCGAAUAAUAGAGGAAUAGUGGAGGGAGCUUAGGGCGGCCUUUGGAGUGCCAUUCUCUGGGGACCUUUUGCAUGGUGGGCUUUGUUAGCUAAAGAUUAGAAGGAGUUAAUUGCUUCAAGAUUGCUCGCAGAUUAGGUUACAUGGUGUGUUGUAUCUAUGUAAGCAUAUGUCAGGUCUAGUUAAAAGAUAGAAGAUGCUUAUUUUAAUAAAAUUAUGAAAGGAAGAAUUAAUUUGUCAUUAUUGUAG
rnacentral:lncRNA from 1 species